AACAGUCACGCCCGUUUUACUGCCCCGUUCCAGAUACGGCCCGCAUGUAGUCUGUGUACACUCAGGAGUGGGCGUGAGCAUCCAUCAGUCGGCGGAAUCAUAAUAGUUCUGGCCUGGACUCGUCGGAACGAGCGCGCGAAUUGUUUCUUUUUUUUCUUUCGAACCGGUUCAUACCGGACCAGAAGUCAGUCGGCGGAAUAAAGUUGUUCUGGCCCGGGGCCAUCGGAACGAGCGCGCGAAGUGUUUGUCUUUCUUUGGAUCAGUUCGGACUGCAAGCUUUGUGGAAAGAGGUUAUAACGGUUCAAUCUUUUCUUCACCCCUGGCUGAGAGCCCGGGAUUAUAGGAUGUGAAUCCAGUUCAAA